UUUGCCGACGCCAUGGCAAUGGCGGGCUCCCCCGUCCCCGACGAUGAACUGAUCAACUACAUCGUCGUUGGCCUCGGAUCCCAGCUCGAGGCACUUCAGCAGUCUCUCGCCGUCCUUGGUGCCGCCAACGCCUCCAUGUCUCUCUCUGAAUUUUACCCCAUGCUGCUUUCUUGUGAGGCGAUCCAGGUGCAGAACGCUCAGGCCUACGGAUACUCCUCCUCGGCGAACGCCGCGGCUCAGCAGGGUGACAGCAGCCGCGGUGGUGGCCGCCCUUUCGACAUCACCGGGCGCACUGGUGGUGGCCCAUCGCAUGGCAGCGGUGGCCAACAUGGUGGUGGCCACUAUGGCGGUGGAGGCUCCUACAACGGUGGCCAGCAGGGCAACCGUAACACAAACCGCAACGGCGGCGGCGGUACCGGCGGACAAGGCGGCGGAGGUAGUGGUCAAGGCGGUGGCAACCGUCACUGGCGCCCACAUUGUCAGGUCUGCAAGGCAUGGGGUCAUGAGGCCCUCUCCUGCAAGAAUCGCUACAACGACGCUUUUCAGGCCGAGGGACAGCGCUCCGGCAACGCUGCCGCCUCCACCCACGGCCAGAACGAGCGGGUGCCCCAGUCACAGCCGUGGUUCUUCGACACAGGGGCAACCGAUCAUCUCACUAAUGACAUGGAGCGAUUGGUAUCCAUGAACGCUACCAUGGGAAGGACCAGGUUCAAGCCGCAAACGGCUCAGGACAAGGUAACGAAGAAAAUCCUCCUUCGCGGUAGGAGUCGUGGCCGCCUUUAUCCUCUUCCGAUCGGUCGAGCCUCCCAUCAUGAGAACCAUACGUCUUCUGGUGUCAAGCUUUCAUCGCACCACUGGCACCAGCGUCUUGGUCAUCCGUCAAAUAAAGUAGUUCAAACAACUAUCAAGUCCAAUAAUCUCCCGUGUACUCCAAACAUUGAGUCUUCUAUUUGUGAUGCUUGUCAACGUGCUAAGAGUCAUCAAUUACCUUAUGGUUAUUCAACUCGUGUGUCUACUGCACCUCUUGAGCUUGUUCAUACCGAU
rnacentral:rRNA from 1 species